UUCCCUCCAAAGAACCUACCCAUCAAGCCUAAACAUUUCCUUCAACUAUUGGGAUUACUAACAAGCUUGGUUCAAUACCUUUCUUCUUCAAAACGAAGGACAAAGCCAUUAUUGGCUUUUCUAUUUCGACACAAGCACAAUCCAAACUUCAAAAAUACCAUAUUGGUUUAAACAAUGGUGGAAUUUUUAUGGCAAUGUUCCUGAGACCAUAAUUCCAG
rnacentral:lncRNA from 1 species